UGGGGAAUUUUGGACAAUGGGGGCAACCCUGAUCCAGCCAUUCCGCGUGAGUGAAGAAGGCCUUCGGGUUGUAAAGCUCUUUCAGCUGGAACGAAACGGUACAUCCUAAUACGGUGUGCUAAUGACGGUACCAGCAGAAGAAGCACCGGCUAACUACGUGCCAGCAGCCGCGGUAAUACGUAGGGUGCGAGCGUUAAUCGGAAUUACUGGGCGUAAAGCGUGCGCAGGCGGAUUGUUAAGCAAGAUGUGAAAUCCCCGGGCUUAACCUGGGAAUGGCAUUUUGAACUGGCAGUCUAGAGUGUGUCAGAGGGGGGUGGAAUUCCACGUGUAGCAGUGAAAUGCGUAGAGAUGUGGAGGAACACCAAUGGCGAAGGCAGCCCCCUGGGAUAACACUGACGCUCAUGUACGAAAGCGUGGGUAGCAAACA
rnacentral:rRNA from 1 species